rnacentral:rRNA from 1 species
UUUAACUGAAGAGUUUGAUCAUGGCUCAGAUUGAACGCUGGCGGCAGGCUUAACACAUGCAAGUCGAGCGGAGAGAGGUAGCUUGCUACUGAUCUUAGCGGCGGACGGGUGAGUAAUGCUUAGGAAUCUGCCUAUUAGUGGGGGACAACAUUUCGAAAGGAAUGCUAAUACCGCAUACGUCCUACGGGAGAAAGCAGGGGAUCUUCGGACCUUGCGCUAAUAGAUGAGCCUAAGUCGGAUUAGCUAGUUGGUGGGGUAAAGGCCUACCAAGGCGACGAUCUGUAGCGGGUCUGAGAGGAUGAUCCGCCACACUGGGACUGAGACACGGCCCAGACUCCUACGGGAGGCAGCAGUGGGGAAUAUUGGACAAUGGGCGCAAGCCUGAUCCAGCCAUGCCGCGUGUGUGAAGAAGGCCUUAUGGUUGUAAAGCACUUUAAGCGAGGAGGAGGCUACUUUAGUUAAUACCUAGAGAUAGUGGACGUUACUCGCAGAAUAAGCACCGGCUAACU